rnacentral:rRNA from 1 species
CGAGUAGGCGGUUAUUUAAGUCAGAUGUGAAAACUCACGGCUCAACCGGGAGAUUGCAUUUGAUACUGGAUGGCUUGAGUGCAGGAGAGGGCAGUGGAAUUCCUAGUGUAGCGGUGAAAUGCGUAGAUAUUAGGAGGAACACCAGUGGCGAAGGCGGCUGCCUGGACUGUAACUGACGCUGAGGCGCGAAAGCGUGGGGAGCAAACA